GCCGGGUGUGGUGGCUCAUGCCUGUAAUCCCAGCACUUAGGGGGGCUGAGGCGGGUGGAUCACCUGAGGUCAGGAGUUCGAGACUAGCCUGGCCAACAUGGUGAAACCCCGUCUCUA
rnacentral:SRP_RNA from 1 species